rnacentral:tRNA from 1 species
GGGUCAAUAGCUCAGUUGUAGUGCUCCCGCUUCUUAUGCGGAAAGACCUGGGUUCAAUUCCCGGCUACUUCC